GGGUAGCCAAGCCAGGUCAAAGGCGCAGGGCUCAGGAUCCCGUAGGGGUUCGUGGGUUCAAAUCCCACCCC
rnacentral:tRNA from 1 species